GACGAACGCUGGCGGCGUGCUUAACACAUGCAAGUCGAACGGAAAGGCCCUGCUUUUGUGGGGUGCUCGAGUGGCGAACGGGUGAGUAACACGUGAGUAACCUGCCCUUGACUUUGGGAUAACUUCAGGAAACUGGGGCUAAUACCGGAUAGGAGCUCCUGCUGCAUGGUGGGGGUUGGAAAGUUUCGGCGGUUGGGGAUGGACUCGCGGCUUAUCAGCUUGUUGGUGGGGUAGUGGCUUACCCAGGCUUUGACGGGUAGCCGGCCUGAGAGGGUGAACGGCGACAAUGGUACUACGGUAGGGCGCAGACUGCAACGGGGGGCAACAGGGGAGAAUAUUGCACAAUGGUGGGGAGUGUGAUGAAGAGACGCUGCGUGCGGGAUGACGGCCUUGUUGUGAGAAACCGCUGUAGGCUGUGACGAAGCUUUAGUGACGGUAAUGGGUGAAGAAGCACCGGCUAACUACGUG
rnacentral:rRNA from 1 species